rnacentral:lncRNA from 1 species
AAACUUUCCAAAAUCAAAAUUUCAGAUCUGAAAUUCAUUCUUUUUGACCUCAAACUAACUUUUUGAAUGUUAGGGCCCCUAGACAUCCAAGAGAGACAUAUUAUGCUUAUUUGGUAUGUUAAAAUCAUAUGGAAAGCAUUAUUAAAUAAGAAAUGGUGUUUAACUUUUGGAGGGUUAUGUUUGUAUAAAUAUGUUACUAAUAUGUGCUCCAAAUUGUAUGAUUUCCUAAAAUUCUGAUGUGUCUUGGUAUACAUUAUCAAUAAUAAUUGGAAUUAUUAUGUUCAAUUAUUGCAUGCCAUAAAACAAUGAAAUGUUGUUGUCAAUUGUGUCUGUAUUUAUGGCUAAAACUUUUGUCACUCAUAGACAAUUAUUGUUUUACUUUGAUUCUUCUUAUAAAAAAAGCAGUUUAUAAUCAACUACGGUCCAAAAUUUGCUUUCUCUGAAGGAAAUUCAGGGAAGGUCUCCUGAAUACAGUUUUCUAACUUUGGAUAUCAUACCAUUGGAUUAGGGAAAAAAAACCUUCCAGGAUUCUAACUAAAAAGCUGAUGUGCUCAUGAGUAUUGCUAACCCAACAUCAAAAGUGUGCCCAAGGCUGUCAGGUUAUAGUUUUGUUUUAUACAUUUUAGGGAGACAGAAGUUACAGGCAAAAACAUAAGUCAAUGCAUAUAAGGUGUACAUUGGAGAUGUCCCGGAAAGGUGGGACAUCUCAAAGCAAGUGCUUACAGGUCACAGGUGGAUUCAAAGAUUUUCUGAUUGGCAAUUUGUUGAAAGAGUUCAGCUUUGUCUAAAGAUUCGAAGUCAGUUGAAAGACAUGCUUGAGUUCAGAUAAGGGGGGUUGUGGAGGCCAAGGUUUUGUUAUAUAGAUGAAGUCUCCAUAUAACAAUCUUUAGAGGGAAUAGAUGACAAAUAUCUCUUUUCAGAACUUAAAAGGUGUCAGAAAGUUAGUUAAUCUUUCCUAGGUCCAGGAAAGUCCUGACUGUAUUAACAGAGAUUCUCUACAGAUGUAAAUUUCCCCCACAAAAGCUGGCUUUGCAGGGCCAUUUAAAAAUAUGGCAGAGAAAUAUAUUUUGGGGUAAAAUAUUUUGAUUUCCUUCAGGAUCGGCUGUCAUGUGAUGCUAUGUUUGAGUCAGGUUGGAAUCUGGUUAUCUUCUUGCCACAAAGAGUCUAUUCUGUCAAUCUUAUGAUCUCUAUUUUAAUCUUAAUGCUGGUCAGUCUUGCCUAAACUCCAAAAGGGAAGGGGCAUAAUGAGGCAUGUCUGACCUCCCUUCCCAUCAUGGCCUGAAAUUUAGUUUUAUAGGUUUCUUUGGGAUCCCCCCCUGGCCAAGAGGGGGUGUGUUCAGUUGGUUGGGGGGCAUAGGAUAUUAUUUUCAAUUUAUAAAUUAAAACUGUGUUUUUCUUAAAGUCCUUAAAAUCAAAGCUAGACAACUUUAAUAAACUUUGAGAGAAAUAACAUCAACUUAUAUAUAAACAGACUUCAUGCCUGCUGAGGUAUGCAGUACUCAGAAAGUUCACUUGAAUACCUAAUUCAAACUACAAUUCAAAAAAAAAAAUCUGUCUGAUUGUCAUAGCAAUCUGAAGAUGCUUCAGAGACCAGAAAAACUAUGGUACAAGCUACUAUAGACAUGGCCCUUUGUUUUUCUUCUGUUUCCAUACAAAUAUCUCUUAUUAAAUAUCUGCUUGCCUGGAUCAGAUAUAGAGGCCUAGCCCAUCUGCAAUGCCACCUCCUGGAAUGGGACACAGCUGUUUAACUGAACUGAUCUAUUCUCAGGACUGAGAGACCGACUAAAGAAGAAAUGGGACGUUAUAUUUAAAUUUGCUCUUUUCUGCUUAUCCCAAUUUGUCUUUUCACUCUUUUGCCUAUCUCUAUCUAACAACCUCUAACCCAAAACUCUCCAAAGCUAUCAGCGUUGGCUCUUAAUAUGUAAAGUUUUUUUAAGUUUCAAAGUAGGAACUGGAGGAAAUAAAAAUAUUUUAUCUCCAAAUAUAUUUCUUUGACAUAU